CUAGGUGGUCCUUAAGCGAGUUGUCCUCAGAUUUACGGUGUUUUUGACAUGAUCGUUAAACGAAUCACGGUAGUUGUUUAGUGAAUCAGGCAGUCAUUAAGCAAGUGCAGUUUUGCCCAUUGCUGUCACUUGUCGUAACUCCAAGCCGAUGUCCCUGCACCCAAGUCAUGAGCGUGUGACCCUGGGGUUGCUGCUACAGUCAUAUGUGUGAGGACCCGUGAUACAUCACACUUUUCAGUGCCAUUGGAACUUGGAACAGUCCCAAAAGCAAAGGCUAUAAAAUGAGGACUAUUAUGGGGUACUUGGUUAGGGACUGUACAACAUUUAAUCUUUUUGUUUCUUUAGCCACAUUUUCAUAACAUCUUUUUAAGCUGAAUAACAUCUAAUCCUUAUGUGUAUUUCCCUUUGACUCCAAUUGACAUGGACACAAAAACCUGGAUUCUCUGGAUCUCUAAUGCUAGAUUUCAGAUGCAAGGGACAACGUUUUAAUUUGGACUUUACCCCCAAAACAAGGGCCAACAUCUGUGGCUUCCCAGCUCUCCAGACAAUGGACAGUUGUCCAUUCAGGUGAAAGGUCUGGUGGAUGAGGAUUCAGGGCUCACUUGCAAAAGCCCCUGAAGAGCCGGCCAAUCCAUGAAUAAGCCAGGCCCUCCAGUGAAGGCAGCCAGUUGGUGAUUAUUUUUCAACUCUCAGCUUGGCUUGUGACAUCAGGGGCUCCUCCUAACCUCAUUGGCUGGAGAUUGCCAUGACAACCUCCAGCAUCCUUGGUAGUUUGGACCACAGGGCUGGAAAGCUCUGUUCCAAAUCCCUGGAAAGUGACUGGAUUGGAUGGCUGGCAGUGUGGGCACAGUGAGGACCUCCCUCAUUUGGACGUGUCAGAAGGAAGAGACAGUUCCCGUUAAGGCAGAAUUAGGGGGCAAGACUAGAAAAGUGGGGUUCAAUCCUGGAUCACAGUGGUGCUGAUACCUGCCGUGUUAGCAGCCUCCGUACUUGUGGCCAAACUGCCAAUCCACCAUCUCAAAGCUCAAGGCAGUGAACGUACCGAAGACUCCUUCGUCCCUACAACAACAAGCUUGUGAGACAGGUCAGCAACAGGGAGGAAACGGCCCUAAAGUGAAUAUCCCUGGGCUAUCUCUCAACGGCCAGUGAUGGUCUCCAUCUCCAGGUUAAGCAGCCGAGAGAUGCCUUUGACCUUCAGACCCAGGAAUUCAAGAGACAAACAAUGGAUGAAAGAGCAGCACAGUUGCCUCAAGAAGACGGUCGAUCAACUAAAGAGCACAACAAAAAAGUGGCAGAAAACUGCUGGACAAAAGAGAAAGGUUGGAGCGUGCCACCACCAUGAUCCCUCAGCGAGGGCUAAAGAUCAAAUAUUUGGUGAAACACACUGAAGAACUGCACAAAGAACGCUGCAGGUCAGCAGCCAAGCGGCCUUUCUCAAAUAUGAGAAGGCUGCCUUAGAACCUUUGAGAAGCGGUCUCGAAGAAGUCUGGAACCUUCUUAAGAACUGAAGAAGCACCUCUAAAGUCUGCAGCAUGAACAGGUUGAGACGGACCAAAGUUACUACGUGGAGAAAAGCCACUCCAGCCAACUGAUGCCGAAAGUCAGUCCUCUUCAGCAGAAUGUGAGGGGAAAAAAGAAGCAAGUCAACAAUCUACAGCAGCAACAGCAGCCGCCGCAGAGCUAUGCUUCCCAGGCCACUGUUGGAGACCUGUGGAAAGCCGAGGAGGACAACGGAGAAGGACUGAACCAUGUCAAAAUGACGAUGCAAGAAUUACAGCUGCAGACGAGGUGUUUCGAGAAAGACAGUGAAGAUCUCCACAGGGAGGUCCCCAGCCAAGUGGCCUUCUUCAGAAAUGGUUUUGGCGCUCCUAAGCGACCAGCACAUGGGACAACUCGCUGACCCUCUCUCCCCAUAGCUGGAAUGGAGGAACGGUGGCCUUUUACCCUUUCGA